rnacentral:lncRNA from 1 species
GCGAAGCUCGGAGCCGGGUUUCCAUCGACACCCACGGGGACAGCCGUUUGACGGCGUCUCCGGGUUCGGUCCGUCGUUCGUCUGCUUCGGGAAAUCAGAGCACGGCGGAGAGAAAUUCGUGCAAAGGCAGAAGCGCCGCUCUCUGCGCAGGCAUAGGGGCGUCCAUAAGGGAGCGAAGACCUGAAGGGGAAGCAGGGAAAACGUGACUGGCAGAUGUGGAUUCCCAGUCUAAUGUCCACAUUGGCCUGCUACACCUGGCCAUGGGAUCCUGGGGCCAAAUAGGGGCCAACCCAGGCUCCCACAACGAUUUUCCUAGCGGGCUGACGACGUUUCCACUUUGACCAAGCACAGCCACUGAGGAGCAGCAACAAUUGCAGGAUGUGAAAUCUUUCUGUAUCAUUCUCCCUGCAAGUAGUAAGGAUACCAUGGAGCUGAGCUCUCUUCCGAAUCUCCGAACUGCUCCCCAGGAUUACUCUGUCUACCUCUGCUCAAAG